rnacentral:rRNA from 1 species
GAUGAACGCUAGCGGCAGGCUUAACACAUGCAAGUCGCGGGGCAGCGCGGGUAGCAAUACCUGGCGGCGACCGGCGGAAGGGUGCGUAACGCGUGAGCAACAUGCCCGUCUCAGGGGGAUAACCGAUGGAAACGUCGCCUAAUACCCCGUAACAACAGAUCCCGCAUGAGAUUUGUUUGAAAGCUCCGGCGGAGACGGAUUGGCUCGCGUGACAUUAGCUAGUUGGCGGGGUAACGGCCCACCAAGGCUACGAUGUCUAGGGGUUCUGAGAGGAAGGUCCCCCACACUGGAACUGAGACACGGUCCAGACUCCUACGGGAGGCAGCAGUGAGGAAUAUUGGUCAAUGGGCGGAAGCCUGAACCAGCCAUGCCGCGUGCAGGAAUGAGGCCCUAUGGGUCGUAAACUGCUUUGCUGCGGAGCAAUAAGUGUUACGUGUAACACGAUGAGAGUACGCAGCGAAUAAGCAUCGGCUAACUCCGUGCCAGCAGCCGCGGUAAUACGGAGGAUGCGAGCGUUAUCCGGAUUUAUUGGGUUUAAAGGGUGCGUAGGCUGUUCGUCAAGUCAGUGGUGAAAUGCCGGGGCUCAACCCCGGAGCUGCCAUUGAUACUGUCGGGCUUGAAUCCUGCUGCCGUGGGAGGAAUGAGUAGUGUAGCGGUGAAAUGCAUAGAUAUUACUCAGAACACCGAUUGCGAAGGCAUCUCACGAAACAGGCAUUGACGCUGAGGCACGAAAGCGUGGGGAUCAAACA